UACGUAGGUGGCAAGCGUUGUCCGGAUUUACUGGGCGUAAAGAGCGCGCAGGCGGUCGUUCAAGUCGCGUGUGAAAGCCCCCGGCUCAACUGGGGAGGGUCACGCGAUACUGAUCGACUCGAAGGCAGGAGAGGGUAGUGGAAUUCCCGGUGUAGUGGUGAAAUGCGUAGAUAUCGGGAGGAACACCAGUGGCGAAGGCGACUACCUGGCCCACUCUUGACGCUGAGGCGCGAAAGCUAGGGGAGCGAACGGG
rnacentral:rRNA from 1 species